ACAGCGCUCUCGCGCUUUCUAGAACUUGAAAGCUCAAGCUUUCUGUUGAAUCGAUGAUCUCAUCUCAGCGCUAUUUGCAGAAAACUUUGUCAAAAAUCCCAGCACGAGGAUAAAAACGCGGAAGCAUCUAGAAAAUGUUUUAAAGUGAAAUUUGAUCAAUUGUGUAGUGGAAAGCCGAAAAAGUGUGUGGGGGAGAGCCAAAGGAAAAGCUAAAUGUGAAAAAAUGAUCGCAGCAUGUGUGAAAACUAUCAAGUGCAGUGUUUUCUUUACAGUGAAAAAAUGGAAAAAACCGGCCUGCGAAAAUUGUUUCCGCUGGAAACGCAAAAGGAAUAACGGAACCAAGUCACGCUGCUGUUGUGCAGGAUGGUCAUCAGACGGCAAGGGGCGCAAGGAGGCAGGAAUUGGAAGGCGAUAAAAGCAAAAAGUGCGGGAGUGAAAAUACCGCAAGAAAUAUAUAAAGAGCGAAAGCAAAGUGUAUUUUUUUGGCUGUGAGAGUGAAAGUACAUACAUAUGUACAUAAUUGCAAGCGCAUGUGAAUAAAAACAAUAACCGCAAGAACUAUAUAAAGGAGCGGCGUAAGAAAUUGAGCGCAAUGCGUAAAAGUGAGUGAAAUGCUGCGAUCAAGUGUGUCAGUGAGUGCAAGUGUGGGAGGGAGAGCAAGGCAAUGUGGAGUGAAAUGAGGCGAUAUGGGCAACAAGUGAGUGUUAGUGCGCGAGUGAAAUGUACACCAGCAACAACAACUUCAGGCACAGGAAGGAGAACCGUAACUUCACUGAGAGGAUCUAAGAGCGGAGCAGCGUAGCUCUCUUUAACUUUGCAACUGGAAGAGAAGAGCGAAAGAGAAGAAUAUCAGCAGUUUCAUCCUGGCUGGUUGAUUUUGCUUUCGAGCAUUAGUAAAAUGCAAGGGCCAAGGAGCGAGGGAGAAUGGCUCUCUUUGAUUACGUCAUUGAAAGAGACGACCGAAAGAGAAGAAUAUUAGCAGUUUCAUCCUGGCUGUUUGUUUAUGCAUUUGAGCAUUAGUAAAAUGCAAGGGACCACGUAGCGGAGG